rnacentral:rRNA from 1 species
GUGAGGAAUAUUGGUCAAUGGUCGCAAGACUGAACCAGCCAUGCCGCGUGCAGGAAGACGGUCCUAUGGAUUGUAAACUGCUUUUAUACAGGAAGAAACCCUCCCACGUGUGGGAGCUUGACGGUACUGUAGGAAUAAGGAUCGGCUAACUCCGUGCCAGCAGCCGCGGUAAUACGGAGGAUCCAAGCGUUAUCCGGAAUCAUUGGGUUUAAAGGGUCCGUAGGCGGUCUUAUAAGUCAGUGGUGAAAGCCCAUCGCUCAACGAUGGAACUGCCAUUGAUACUGUAGGACUUGAAUGCUUAGGAAGUAACUAGAAUAUGUAGUGUAGCGGUGAAAUGCUUAGAUAUUACAUGGAAUACCAAUUGCGAAGGCAGGUUACUACUAAGUGAUUGACGCUGAUGGACGAAAGCGUGGGGAGCGAACAGGAUUAGAUACCCGUGUAGUCC